GUAAAGGUUUCGACAGGGGUCCGGAACGUGGAGAAGCUAUCCGAAUGCAAGGGCGUAACCCGGCAAAAUAAAAAUAAACGCUAACGACAACGAAUUAGCACUCGCAGCCUGAGCGCUGCGCGCCUCCGGAGAAUCACUCACAGUUUUCUGAUCUGGCGUCAUGAAUGUGGGAAACGACUGCGGCUAAGCUUUGCACUGCAGGGCGUAUCAUGAAGCUACCAAACCUGUAUGGCUGUCUGCUUCCGUACAGGAUGCGGGAAGGGAUGCCGGCAUGCCGGCCUCGCAAUAACAGACUACGAUAGUAGAAGGACACCGGAGGGGCUUUUGGACGCGGGUUCGAUUCCCGCCUGGUCCAC
rnacentral:tmRNA from 1 species